UACGGAGGGAGCUAGCGUUAUUCGGAAUUACUGGGCGUAAAGCGCACGUAGGCGGCUUUGUAAGUUAGAGGUGAAAGCCUGGAGCUCAACUCCAGAAUUGCCUUUAAGACUGCAUCGCUUGAAUCCAGGAGAGGUGAGUGGAAUUCCGAGUGUAGAGGUGAAAUUCGUAGAUAUUCGGAAGAACACCAGUGGCGAAGGCGGCUCACUGGACUGGUAUUGACGCUGAGGUGCGAAAGCGUGGGGAGCAAACAG
rnacentral:rRNA from 1 species